UAUAUAUAUAAUUAUUUAUACAAAUUUCUAGCAAUAUUCCUUUUCUUAUAAUAAAAUAAAAUUGAAGAAAACUUUUUCUAAAUGAACCUUUGCAGAAUAAAGGAUUAUUUUCUACUAUGUAUUUUAAAAAAUAUGACUGUGAUAAUAUUUAAUAUCCUUAGAGUACAUUAUAAACUUUUUAAGAAUAUAAAAUAGGUACUUAUAGUAUCACAUAAUGCACGUUUAAAGCAAUCCUAUUCCUUACAUGCAUUUAGCUGAGAAAAUGAUCAUUUUUGAUCAUUUGAUUAUAAUACGUAAAUAAAACUUAUUGUUUUUUUGUUACUCUUUUUGUAAUACAUCGAUACGAUCAUAAGAAUUACAAUUGAAAGUACUAAUUAAACUACAAAAUUAUUUAUACAAAAUGAUAUUUUAUUCAAACAGAAUAACAAUAUCUAUACAUACUUAAGUCAUACAGAUAUAUUAUAAAUCUAAUCCAAACUCCGAUUCUAUUCAGAUCGUAUCUUAAAUAAAUUAUUAACUAAACGAUAAAUGUAUUUAUUUCCGAUAAAACCGAUCUCUAUUUAAUGCGUUAUAUGUUUUUUACAGAAACCAAUUCUGGAAUGCGUUUCUACUAUGAAUAACUGAUAAAAAAACAAAUAUUAACAUUCAUUCUUACUUUUCUAUACUUUAACACGACGUUUUUUACAGAACAAUUCACAAAAAAAAUGAAUUCCAAUUAUCUUUUUGUCGAACAAAGAGAAUCUUAAGCAACAUGUACGUACGUGAUAGAGAAGAAUAUGAACAAGUAGAACAAACGAAAACAGGAAAGAAAUCGGGAGACAGAAAAAUGUCUCUGAAGCUGUAAGGAACAUCUAAACAGGAAACACGUGCAGUUCAAAGCAACAAUGAAGAAAGGACAAAGCUUGGCUGUUACAUGUUGGGACACUCUUUAUUCGUCUAUCUAUUAACGCAAACUCGGAACGUGUAAAUUGGAUAGCCGCACGUUUAUCCGACGAUCUCUUUGCAUUCUUCGACUACCUCGAGUCGUGCAUCUUGGCAAUCAUGUCGCAACUGUUAUCGGUUAUCGACUAAGUAGCUGUUCUUUCUUUCACGGGCAUAAGUACAUACAUAGUAUGUACCUUCAACCUCAGUCUCACGAAAGAGUGGGUUAAAAGAAUUCUAGGUGCAAGUCUCUUUCACAAGUUGCGACGACGACUUUCUAUUUAACUCUGUUCGGAAACAUUGGAUUUCGUUUUAGAUAACGAGAUUGAUUUUUGGAGAAUUUCAGUGCUAACAUUGAGUUUUAAGCUUCUUUUUCUUUAACUAAUAAACGAGAAAAGAAAUUAUUCUUUACAAAUUUUCGACGGAUUUGUAGCAUUAGUAUAUAAAUUUUAUCAAAAUGUAUAAAUUAAUAAGUAAAUACGUAAGAGCAAUAUUUAUUAUUUUAUUACCUAGUUAACAGACUAUAAACAUAUAUUAUCUAUUAGAAGAAAAUAUUUAAUAAUAAUAAUCAAUAUAUUUCUUUCUCCACGAUAACGUCGAUCUACUCACUGAUUUUAAAUAUGUAUCAGCUGAGAAAAACAUUUUUUAUCUAAUUCAUAGUUUGGAAAUUAAACAAUCAAUGAAAUUCUAAUAGCUCGAUAGAUACGGAUUUGUUGAAAUAGCAAAGUAAUUCCAUAAUCUUUGAUAAACAUGUACAUCGAUUUUAUUAUUACAUAUUAGUUUGAUUAUCAUAAUGUUUAAUUAUAUAUAACUACAAUGUUCUUAUGGUUUCAUUGUUUUGUGGUAUAUUGUUAUUCUUUUUUACCUAUAAUCAUGUGGCAAAAUUACAUCUUAUCAAAGUUAAACAAAUAUCUUUUUAAACGAUUUUGUACAGUAUGCGGAUAAUUGUGACAGUAUGAACGUAAAUACUGCAAUAUAUUCGAAUACGAUUCUAAUAAAGCGAAGUAAAAUUCAAUAGGAAGGCUUGAUAUAAUAGAACAAUUCUUUUCCUAUAAAUAAAAUAAGUAGACGAUUACUUAUGUAUGUAACGUACGUAAUAUACUUAUACAUAACUGUACAUUUGUCUAAACGAUAUUGUUAUGAAUUAGCAAACCCUUUCGACUAAUAAUAUGAUCUACUUCUAAAAUCUAAUCUAAAAUCUAAUUUUACUUAUAGUUUCUUCAAAUGCAAAAUUAUUUUAUAUGUAUCUUUCAUUCACUGAGUCUCUUAAUUAGUAAUGAAAUAUCUAUUUUAUAAUAGAAAUACGUCAAACUGAAUGUUACUAAUAAUAAUAUCAUAUUAGCAAUAUGAAACUAAGUUAAGCGAUAUUUGUUGUCUCUUUUUUAGAAUUAAUAGACACUUGUUGCAAGACAUAAAUAUACUUGCAAAAAACUGCAAUUUUUUGACUUGUUAAGAAACAUUAAAGAAGAAACAAUCAAGAAACAUUAAAGAAAACAUUCAGUAAUAAUUUUAACACAUUAUAAGUUGAUACAAUUUUUAUAAAUCAUGAGAAAAUUAAACAAGAACCUGUAUCUUUUUCGUUAGUAUUUUAUAGUUUUUAAACAAUAUACAAUAAAAAUUUCUGAAUAAACAGAA